UACGGAGGGAGCUAGCGUUGUUCGGAAUUACUGGGCGUAAAGCGUGCGUAGGCGGUUAUUCAAGUCAGAGGUGAAAGCCCGGGCUCAACCCGGAACGGCCUUUGAAACUAGGUAACUAGAAUCUUGGAGAGGUUAGUGGAAUUCCGAGUGUAGAGGUGAAAUUCGUAGAUAUUCGGAAGAACACCAGUGGCGAAGGCGACUAACUGGACAAGUAUUGACGCUGAGGUACGAAAGCGUGGGAGCAAACAGG
rnacentral:rRNA from 1 species